rnacentral:ncRNA from 1 species
AGAUUAAUAACCCAGUGCGCGCAACGGUGAAAACCGGCAGACCAUCAAGACGCCGUUAAUACAUCCUUGUCGGCUUGUCCGCGCUAUCUCUGGCGCGGACGCUU